rnacentral:rRNA from 1 species
GUGAAAAACAAAGAUACAGGCUAGCGGCGGACGGGGUGAGUAAACACGUGGGGUAAACCUGCCCAAAGAGAUACGGGGAUAACACCUGGGAAACAGAUGCUAAUACCCGGAUAACAACAGAUGAUGCCUAUCAACUGUUUUAAAAAGAUGGUUCUGCUAUCACUCUUUGGGAUGGGACCUGCGGUGCAUUAGCUAGUUGGUAGGGUAACGGCCUACCAAGGCGAUGAUGCAUAGCCGAGUUGAGAGACUGAUCGGCCACAUUGGGACUGAGACACGGCCCAAACUCCUACGGGAGGCAGCAGUAGGGAAUCUUCCACAAUGGACGCAAGUCUGAUGGAGCAACGCCGCGUGAGUGAAGGAGGGUUUCGGCUCGUAAAGCUCUGUUGUUGGUGAAGAAGGACAGGGGUAGUAACUGACCUUUGUUUGACGGUAAUCAAUUAGAAAGUCACGGCUAACUACGUGCCAGCAGCCGCGGUAAU